rnacentral:rRNA from 1 species
AAUAGAUACCCUGGUAGUCCAUGCCGUAAACGUUGGGAACUAGAUGUAGGGCCUGUUCCACGGGUUCUGUGUCGUAGCUAACGCAUUAAGUUCCCCGCCUGGGGAGUACGGCCGCAAGGCUAAAACUCAAAGGAAUUGACGGGGGCCCGCACAAGCGGCGGAGCAUGCGGAUUUAAUUCGAUGCAACGCGAAGAACCUUACCAAGGCUUGACAUAUACGAGAACACUGUAGAGAUACAGGACUCUUUGGACACUCGUAUACAGGUGGUGCAUGGUUGUCGUCAGCUCGUGUCGUGAGAUGUUCGGUUAAGUCCGGCAACGAGCGCAACCCUCGUCCUAUGUUGCCAGCACGUGAUGGUGGGAACUCAUGGGAUACUGCCGUGGUCAACACGGAGGAAGGUGGGGGAUGACGUCAAAUCAUCAUGCCCCCUUAUGUCUUGGGCUUCACGCAUGCUACAAUGGCCGGUACAAAGGGCUGCGAUACCGUAAGGUGGAGCGAAUCCCAAAAGCCGGUCUCAGUUCGGAUUGGGGUCUG